AAUAAGAGGUCCAGCCUGCCCAGUGACUUUGUUCAACGGCCGCGGUAUCCUAACCGUGCGAAGGUAGCGUAAUCACUUGUUCUUUAAAUGAGGACUAGUAUGAAUGGCUUCACGAGGGUUACACUGUCUCCUUUUUCUGAUCAGUGAAACUAAUCUCUCCGUGAAGAAGCGGAGAUAAACCUAUAAGACGAGAAGACCCUAUGGAGCUUUAAACAAUAUAGCAUCUGCCUGCCGUACAAAAAAUUCCAGAGUCCCUUAAUCCAUUGGACAGAAUGACUAUAAGUUUUUGGUUGGGGUGACCACGGAGCAUAAUACAACCUCCGCGCUGAAUGAAUUUUUUUUCUAAACCAAGAGCUACAACUCUAAGUAUCAAUAUAUUGACAGCCAUUGACCCAAUACACUUGAACAACGAACCAAGUUACCCUAGGGAUAACAGCGCAAUCCACUUCAAGAGCUCCUAUCGACAAGUGGGUUUACGACCUCGAUGUUGGAUCAGGGUCUCCCAGUGGUGCAGCCGCUACUA
rnacentral:rRNA from 1 species